rnacentral:rRNA from 1 species
UACGUAGGUGGCAAGCGUUGUCCGGAAUUAUUGGGCGUAAAGCGCGCGCAGGCGGCCUUUUAAGUCUGAUGUGAAAUCUUGCGGCUCAACCGCAAGCGGUCAUUGGAAACUGGGAGGCUUGAGUACAGAAGGGGAGAGUGGAAUUCCACGUGUAGCGGUGAAAUGCGUAGAUAUGUGGAGGAACACCAGUGGCGAAGGCGACUCUCUGGUCUGUAACUGACGCUGAGGCGCGAAAGCGUGGGGAGCAAACAGG